rnacentral:rRNA from 1 species
UGGUCUGUAACUGACGCUGAGGAGCGAAAGCGUGGGGAGCGAACAGGAUUAGAUACCCUGGUAGUCCACGCCGUAAACGAUGAGUGGUAAGUGUUAGGGGGUUUCCGCCCCUUAGUGCUGCAGCUAACGCAUUAAGCACUCCGCCUGGGGAGUACGGUCGCAAGACUGAAACUCAAAGGAAUUGACGGGGGCCCGCACAAGCGGUGGAGCAUGUGGUUUAAUUCGAAGCAACGCGAAGAACCUUACCAGGUCUUGACAUCCUCUGACAACCCUAGAGAUAGGGCUUUCCCUUCGGGGACAGAGUGACAGGUGGUGCAUGGUUGUCGUCAGCUCGUGUCGUGAGAUGUUGGGUUAAGUCCCGCAACGAGCGCAACCCUUGAUCUUAGUUGCCAGCAUUCAGUUGGGCACUCUAAGGUGACUGCCGGUGACAAACCGGAGGAAGGUGGGGAUGACGUCAAAUCAUCAUGCCCCUUAUGACCUGGGCUACACACGUGCUACAAUGGACAGAACAAAGGGCUGCGAGACCGCAAGGUUUAGCCAAUCCCACAAAUCUGUUCUCAGUUCGGAUCGCAGUCUGCAACUCGACUGCGUGAAGCU